rnacentral:rRNA from 1 species
AGUGAACGCUGGCGGCGUGCCUAAUACAUGCAAGUCGAACGGAAUUUAAAAGAGCUUGCUCUUUUAAAUUUAGUGGCGCACGGGUGAGUAAUAUAUAGCUAAUCUGCCCCUUGCUGGAGGACAACAGUUAGAAAUGACUGCUAAUACUCCAUACUCCUUUUUACCAUAAGAUAAAUCGGGAAAGAAUUUCGGCAAGGGAUGAGACUAUAUCGUAUCAGCUAGUCGGUGGGGUAACGGCCUACCGAGGCUAUGACGCGUAACUGGUCUGAGAGGAUGAUCAGUCACAUUGGAACUGAGACACGGUCCAAACUCCUACGGGAGGCAGCAGUAGGGAAUAUUGCGCAAUGGGGGAAACCCUGACGCAGCAACGCCGCGUGGAGGAUGACACUUUUCGGAGCGUAAACUCCUUUUGUUAGGGAAGAAUAAUGACGGUACCUAACG